UGAAAAUGCAAAAGCCACAAGCAAAUCUUCAGUGGAUGGAUGGCGUCACAUAUUGGUUACAAUCUUGAUGGCUAUCAAAAGCGUACCCAAAGUUCCUGCCAUUAGAAGCACCAAUGAUGUCAAGGAAAUCCUGCAAUGUUUGAAGACCAUUGAUAAUUGCAAAAUUCUGGCUUUAGAGGUGCUUUGGACUCCACAGGAUGAGAAUGAUACUUUGUCAGAGCAGGAAUUGCUAACAAAUUACCCAUCUUUGAGGUCAAUAACUACAUCUUGAUGUUAUCCGUUCAGACAUGAUGAAGAAGAUCCCGGUGAACGGCAAUGCCAUAACUCAUAAGGAG
rnacentral:misc_RNA from 1 species